AGUGAACGCUGGCGGUAGGCCUAACACAUGCAAGUCGAACGGCAGCACAGUAAGAGCUUGCUCUUACGGGUGGCGAGUGGCGGACGGGUGAGGAAUACAUCGGAAUCUACUUUUUCGUGGGGGAUAACGUAGGGAAACUUACGCUAAUACCGCAUACGACCUACGGGUGAAAGCAGGGGAUCUUCGGACCUUGCGCGAUUGAAUGAGCCGAUGUCGGAUUAGCUAGUUGGCGGGGUAAAGGCCCACCAAGGCGACGAUCCGUAGCUGGUCUGAGAGGAUGAUCAGCCACACUAGAACUGAGACACGGUCCAGACUCCUACGAGAGGCAGCAGUGGGGAAUAUUGGACAAUGGGCGCAAGCCUGAUCCAGCCAUGCCGCGUGGGUGAAGAAGGCCUUCGGGUUGUAAAGCCCUUUUGUUGGGAAAGAAAAGCAGCAGGUUAAUACCCCGCUGUUCUGACGGUACCCAAAGAAUAAGCACCGGCUAACUUCGUG
rnacentral:rRNA from 1 species